rnacentral:rRNA from 1 species
GACGAACGCUGGCGGCGUGCUUAACACAUGCAAGUCGAGCGGUAAGGCCCUUUCGGGGGUACACGAGCGGCGAACGGGUGAGUAACACGUGGGUGACCUGCCCUCAGCUCUGGGAUAAGCCCGGGAAACUGGGUCUAAUACCGGAUAUGACUCCAUGACGCAUGUUGUGGGGUGGAAAGCCUUGUGCGGCUGAGGAUGGGGCCCGCGGCCUAUCAGCUUGUUGGUGGGGUGAUGGCCACCAAGGCGACGACGGGUAGCCGGCCUGAGAGGGCGACCGGCCACACUGGGACUGAGAUACGGCCCAGACUCCUACGGGAGGCAGCAGUGGGGAAUCUUGCGCAAUGGGCGAAAGCCUGACGCAGCGACGCCGCGUGAGGGAUGAC